GGUCUGAUGGCCGAGUGGCUAGCGCUCUGGUGCUGGGUACCACAGAUGUUUGUAGUGGUUCAGAAUCCACUUUAAACCA